GUACAUUCAUUGAAAAUGUGUUGCCAUGUUGGCAGGAUGGUCGGAAAUGUUUUGCACGAUCUUUCUCCGUACGUUUUGUUUGUAAAUGUGAGAUGCUCACAAACGUCUCGUCUUCAUAUCAGAGACAAGGAAGUACAUUUGACCCGUUCUCACUCCUG